GUAGUAGUUGUUGUUGUUGUGGCUGUUGUAAUAGUAGUAGUAGUUUUGCAGAAGUAGUAGUAGUAGUAGUAGUAGUACUAGUAGUAGAAGUAAUAGUAGUAACUUUCAAAGCAAUGUCUACAAGUUUAAAUUCCUUAACCCUGUUCAAGGUGUAUACACACUCAAUAUUUAACUACAGUCCAGGUUUGCAAUUAACAAACUAUCUGAUAAACCUGUGUGUGAGUCAGAUAUGUCUGCUGCUAAUCUAUUGGUUAUAAAAUAUCACAGCCUUUUCUGAUUGGCUGAGUUCAAAUACAGAAAGUUUACCUGUUAGAUUGAAAUUCUGGAGCAGGCGUAUUGUAAAAUAUGCAGGUUAAACUUGUUGUUAAAAUGAAGUUAAUGUAAUGUUCACAAACAGUAGAGUUAAUGAGUUUUUCCAUUAACAAGAAUUUCUUAAAAUAAUAAUGUAUGAAUAUCAUUUGGAAAGUGACAUGAAAUGUUGUUAAAAAGUGAUGCAUACAAGUGUUUCAGAAGUCUGUCUAGGAAUAGAACAACAACUGAAGCUGACCAGUUGAUGAAAGAUACUGCAGAGUUUGGCAGGGAAAUAACCCAAGACAGCAAAGCGGCUCUUUUGGCGCAUUUACUAAGAGGACUAACAUGGCCACAAAUUCAUGAGAUCAUGCAGGAGCCGUACAGUAUAACAGCAGUACAAGUUCUAUAAAAGAUCCACGACCUACUGAAGCCCAGCUAAUUAACAAAAAAGUUUUUAAAAACUGUAAUUUUAUCCCACCUGGGUACUUAUAAUUUACUAAGCUGCCUACACAAGUUUUAGACUUGCAAUUAUAUUUUAAACUGUCACUUGGAAAGUAAUACAUGUACAUGCAUUAUGCAAAGUAUUUAAAUGAAA